rnacentral:rRNA from 1 species
CACAGCCGCGGUAAUACAGAGGGUGCGAGCGUUAAUCGGAUUUACUGGGCGUAAAGCGUGCGUAGGCGGCUAAUUGAGUCGGAUGUGAAAUCCCCGAGCUUAACUUGGGAAUUGCAUUCGAUACUGGUUAGCUAGAGUGUGGGAGAGGAUGGUAGAAUUCCAGGUGUAGCGGUGAAAUGCGUAGAGAUCUGGAGGAAUACCGAUGGCGAAGGCAGCCAUCUGGCCUAACACUGACGCUGAGGUACGAAAGCAUGGGGAGCAAACAGGAUUAGAUACCCCAGUAGUCCCUGUCUCUUAUACA